GGCGUUGAGCUCCUGCAGCCGCCGCCGCCGCCGCAGCAGCGGUCGUCCCUGCCCUCCCCGGCCCUGGGGUGCACUCCGCAAGGCUCCCGCUGGUGUCCCUGGAGCAUGGGAGGCUGCUGAGCGUGAGUGGCGGGGUCCGGCAGGAGCUGCGUGGCAGGGAGGGCGUCCAUGGCUGCAGCCAACAAGGGCAACAAGCCCAGAAUCCGGAGUAUCCGCUUUGCGGCAGGCCACGAUGCAGAAGGAUCCCACAGCCACGCCCACUUCGAUGAGAAGCUGCAUGACUCGGUGGUCACGGUCACCCAGGAGAGAGACAGCAGCUUUCUGGUCAAGGUCGGCUUCCUGAAGAUCCCGCACAGGUAUGAGAUUACCUUCACUCUGCCCCCAGUGCACAGGCUGAGCAAGGAUGUCCGCGAGGCACCUGUCCCCAGCCUGCACCUCAAGCUCCUCAGCGUGGUGCCCGUCCCUGAAGGUUAUAGUGACAAGUGCGAGUACUCGGCGCACAAAGAGGGUGUCCUCAAAGAGGAGAUACUGCUAGCCUGCGAAGGUGGCACUGGUACCUGUGUGCGCGUGACAGUGCAGGCCCGCGUCAUGGACCGGCACCACGGCACGCCCAUGCUGCUGGAUGGUGUCAAGUGCGUGGGCGCCGAGUUGGAAUACGACUCAGAGCACAGCGACUGGCACGGCUUUGACUGA